AUACUUGGCGGAAGGAUGCGUGGCUGCCAUUCUGCGCCUACGGCCCCUCCAACCACCACCUAUUCAUACACACGC